rnacentral:rRNA from 1 species
AUUGAACGCUGGCGGAAUGCUUUACACAUGCAAGUCGAACGGCAGCACGGGGCAACCUGGUGGCGAGUGGCGAACGGGUGAGUAAUACAUCGGAACGUGCCCAAUCGUGGGGGAUAACGUAGCGAAAGUUACGCUAAUACCGCAUACGAUCUACGGAUGAAAGCGGGGGAUCGCAAGACCUCGCGCGAAUGGAGCGGCCGAUGUCAGAUUAGGUAGUUGGUGGGGUAAAGGCUCACCAAGCCAACGAUCUGUAGCUGGUCUGAGAGGACGACCAGCCACACUGGAACUGAGACACGGUCCAGACUCCUACGGGAGGCAGCAGUGGGGAAUUUUGGACAAUGGGCGCAAGCCUGAUCCAGCCAUUCCGCGUGCAGGAUGAAGGCCUCGGUUG